GCCUAUGGCCACACUGUACUAAACACGCCCGAUCCACUCCAAUCUUGGAAGCUAAGCAGUCUUGGGCCUAGCUAGUACUUGGAUGGAAGACCUCCUAGGAAUCCCUGGUGCCAUUGAAC
rnacentral:rRNA from 1 species